GACAGCCUUCUCCUACCCUCUGGAACUCCCUUUUGUGAAAGUGGCCAAACUUAUACAACCAUGCUGGAAAAAAGUGCUUGAGGGUGUCUUUUCAUGACAAGGACAGACAGCUGUUCUAUCUAAAUGAAUAUUCCAAACUGGAAUAGAAGUGGGCAGUAAAAAUCUAUGGCAUCUAAAUAUGACAGGAUAUGGACAUUUGGAGGAAAUUACUAGAACAAGAAAAGGACAGCUGAGCUGGGAAAUCUAUGAACAAUGCUUGGUGGUACAGAACCAUUUCACCUUGAUAUUCAAGGUAAAAAAAAAUAAAUCAAGUAGGAACUAAUUCCUGUGACUACCGAAUAUGAUAAAUAUCAUAACAAAAAGGAAUAGAAGCAAAAGUUUGGGUUUGCUUGUCGAGUCUGGUUAUCCCACCCAAUGUCUAACUUGUGCUCUUGUCUGUUUGGUGGGCAGUGACUCAUCUUUGGCAUCAAAUAUGAAAACUGAAUUCUUUCUUUCUUUCUUUCUUUCUUUCUUCCUUUCUAAAAUUUUUAUUAUAAAAUGAUUUCAGUUUACAACUAUAAAAUGCUAACAGGAAAAUUAAUAAUACAAACAAGAAGGAAACACAACCAGAAAGAAAAAGUGACAGCAACAAUAAUUCAGAACCAAUCAUUUCAUUCCAUUUUUCUUACAUUUUUCUUACAUCAGAGAUUGCCUAAAACUCUUUGAUUUCACUGUAAGUGAAACCAACUGGAAGGUGCUUCCAAGGAAGGAACCAUGGGAGCCCAAAUUCUUCCCAAUGUAUUUCUUUCAUUUUCCAGAGUUCCCUUUAUAAAGAAUAGAUGUGGCUUUAGCAGCAGUACUCUAGCCAUCAUAAGGUUCUAAAACUUUGAGAACUGAAGACAGUGGUGCAGUGGUUAAAUGCCUGCACUCACUCAC